GUAUUCGGGACAUGUGGUGGAUAUUCUCAAAGUGAUUUCAGGAGCUUAUCAUAGGAGAAUCCAAUGACAAAGGAUUUUGUUCAGAAUGGACAACAAAACAAAAUACAAGACCAUAUGAAAACUUAUAUUGCAACCCAAGAGGAUCCUUUGUGAAUUGGGGAUAAACUUUACACCAAGAACAUCUGAUUAAAACCUUCCCAAAUAAGACAAGGACGACAUACAACAAAUAUAGAACCAGUGAGCGAUUGAUCAGCUACUGACAUCACUUCUGUCAGCAAAAAUCAUGAAAAGGUUACUCCUAAUCAUCUGUCACUGAAAUGAAUAACAAUGCUCAGAAAAUGAAAGAAUGGGUGCAUGUAUGACAGUAUAAAUAGAAAAGGGGGAGGGGAAAGUGAGGGGUACAAAAAGGACAGAAGAUUAGAAUUGAAAGAAAAAACAACUUGAACAAUGAGUCAGAGUGGACUACUUCCAAUCAGAUCCCAGGCUGGUAGAAGGAUGAGCUAUGAUAGAGGAUAUACGCUGAGAGAAAAUUCCUGCAAUCAAUGUAGCCAACCAAAACGUGCAUCAGAAUGCUUCGAAAUGUUGCAAAAUCUUUGCUUUUAAAAGAUAUUGUAUCUAGAAUCAUGAUAGCCAUGUCAUCUUGCGCACAGGAAUCAUAUCUGUAAUGAAGACGAAGAACAUCUUAAAUGCUCAAGUAAUAGUAAUAUCAACAUCUUAAAUAUGAGCAGUUUUACAAUCAACGCCAAAUUUGUUGAAUCAGCUCACAUGCAUGGCAGACACUAUCAAAGCACAUUUCAAAAAGAGAAUUCAAGCAACCAAGAUCAGCUGUGAACAGGUGACUUGUCCAGGGUCUCUCCAACCAUUCUUCAAUCUUCAAUUUUUCAAAUUUGUGCAAAGUUAAAGGUGAAAACAUUCACUUGACCAUGGAACAUAAACACAGAUGUGCUCUAUUCGAGCAGUCACCAACACUCUGGCAAGAUAUUUGAAGACGAAACGGGCUUGACACAUAGAAUGGUAAAAAUCAAGAAACACUACAAAGAAUCAAAGGCAGAUGAGGAAGAAACCCACCACAAAUGAUUGCGAAGCACUUCACGAUUGAUCCGCAAAUGGACACACAAAUCUGACAUGACUGGACGACAGAGGUGAAGAUGAUGAACACUUGAUCCAUGGCUGGAUUCCUUCCAUCUUGAUAUAGUAACUUCAACAAAUGAUUCACUGAAAAAAAAGUCCAACACCAAAUGCAGUUUGUAUUGACUUUUGAAACAAGAAAAAUAAACCCCACCAAAAUAUCAGAGAAUGAGAUAAAGAGAGUGAGAGAAAGGAGGGGGGGUGGGGGGACAGGUGAGAUUGGGAAGACAGGGAAUAAGCACUCUGGAAGCAUUCAUAUGAUAUGGGGUGUGUCUAGUCUUCAGAAAAUUCAGAAAAAGAUGUACUAAAUGUAGUAGUAUGGUAGCCUUCCUUCAUGCAUCAUACAUAUCUUGGCUGGGAAAGGUUCACAUGAAGGAAAUGCGUUAAUUACUAAUGGCAAGUUACAAGCUACAUGUACUAUGGUAUUUCAUUUAAAGGAAAUGGAAUAACAUCCUAUGGUGUCACAGUUUUAAAAGCAAAUGUUAUCAAUAAGUUUUAUAAAACAGGGUCCAUUGGCAUAGUAAAGUACAUAAGGGAUUAUACCAUGGACUAGACACACCCUUAGUAAGGCACAAUUGGUUCAAUACAAAAUAACGGGCCACCUUUUGCUUUCGUUGGCCAAGGUCAAAUGUACAAAACCUACUAAAAAACUGAUCUUCUUUAAUGACAGAACUUUUGGCCUUGACUUCAUAUCUGACAAAAUGGCUAGUUUUAAGAACUUUACAAAGAUGUUUAACAGCGUCAAUAAGGAGACUCGGAUUUCUCAUUCAUGAUCACUAUCAGCCUUACUCCUAAAUUAGAGAGAGCACAGCGUUAGGGAAUAUAAGAUUCUGCAUCAUGAAUGAAGUUUUGAAAUCUGAAGCACCUUAAUAUCGAGAAAUGAAAAUACCUGACUUUUGCAAAGAAUUUACUUUGUUAAAUUUAAAAAAAGGGAGAUGGGUAUCCAGGCAUACAAUUGUCAACACUUGAAAAUUCAUUAGAAUAGAAUGCCGAGAAACCGGAUAAUGGCACAUAUGAAUUAAUAAGUGUUUUAAAAGCUAAAAUACAUCAGCAUUGGUCACUUUUCAGAUGAUUUAUCAUCAAUUUCAGUUUGUAAACUUGUUGUUUGAAAUAGAAAUUUGUUAAUGAAAUUUCUGAUAAAUACUUUGAAAAAAAAAAGAAAAGAAGAUUCUCAAGUAAUCAUGGACAUUGGAAAGAAAAACAGAAAAUUGCAGAUAAUUAAAGCUAAAUGUACAUGUAUGAGAUGAAUUUGAAAAGAAAAACUAGAAAUGUAAAAAAAAUCAUUUUUUGGUCAAGAAUCAAAUUGGAUAUUUUUUGUUAGAAAUCAUUUACAAUGCUGAUUUUAAUGUCAAUUCAUGAGUACUGUUUCAAUUACAAAAGUGAUAUUUCAGGCAAAAUAAAUGAAAUUGCAAAUCAAAAUUAUUUCCGAUGCUUAUUUCCAUAUCAAUACAUCAGAAUGAACAGAAAAAUGAUAACAUUGAUAUUUCAGACAAAAUAAGUGAAAUAUUCGCAUAUGAACAGAUAUCAAUUGCAACAACGUUUAAAAGACUAAGAAAUACAUAUGUCACAUCAAUAUUCCUGAUAUUAACUGAUGGCUUCUCAGUGCAAACUUGCUAUCAAGAAAAAAAACAUUGAUAGUAUUUGGAGAAAUAAAACAUGGAAAAUAAAUCUGAAG